rnacentral:rRNA from 1 species
AUUGAACGCUGGCGGCAGGCCUAACACAUGCAAGUCGAACGGUAACAGGAAGCAGCUUGCUGCUUCGCUGACGAGUGGCGGACGGGUGAGUAAUGUCUGGGAAACUGCCUGAUGGAGGGGGAUAACUACUGGAAACGGUAGCUAAUACCGCAUAACGUCGCAAGACCAAAGAGGGGGACCUUCGGGCCUCUUGCCAUCGGAUGUGCCCAGAUGGGAUUGCUAGUAGGUGGGGUAACGGCUCACCUAGGCGACGAUCCCUAGCUGGUCUGAGAGGAUGACCAGCCACACUGGAACUGAGACACGGUCCAGACUCCUACGGGAGGCAGCAGUGGGGAAUAUUCACAAUGGGCGCAAGCCUGAUGCAGCCAUGCCGCGUGUAUGAAGAAGGCCUUCGGGUUGUAAAGUACUUUGCAGCGGGGAGGAAGGCGAUAAGGUUAAUAACCUUGUUCGAUUGACGUUACCCGCCGAAGAAGCACCCGCUAAC